CGCGCAGGCGGUCGUUCAAGUCGAGUGUGAAAGCCCCCGGCUCAACUGGGGAGGGUCACUCGAUACUGAUCGACUCGAAGGCAGGAGAGGGAAGUGGAAUUCCCGGUGUAGUGGUGAAAUGCGUAGAUAUCGGGAGGAACACCAGUGGCGAAGGCGACUUCCUGGCCUGUUCUUGACGCUGAGGCGCGAAAGCUAGGGGAAGCAAACG
rnacentral:rRNA from 1 species